rnacentral:rRNA from 1 species
UACAGAGGGUGCAAGCGUUAAUCGGAAUUACUGGGCGUAAAGCGCGCGUAGGUGGUUUGUUAAGUUGGAUGUGAAAUCCCCGGGGCUCAACCCUGGGAACUGCAUCCAAAACUGGCAAGCUAGAGUAUGGUAGAGGGUGGUGGAAUUUCCUGUGUAGCGGUGAAAUGCGUAGAUAAUAGGAAGGAACACCAGUGGCGAAGGCGACCACCUGGACUGAUACUGACACUGAGGUGCGAAAGCGUGGGGAGCAAACAG